rnacentral:rRNA from 1 species
CCCUUAGAUGUUCUGGGCCGCACGCGCGCUACACUGAUGCAUUCAACGAGCCUAGCCUUGACCGAGAGGUCCGGGUAAUCUUUGAAACUGCAUCGUGAUGGGGCUAGAUUGUUGCAAUUAUUAAUCUUCAACGAGGAAUGCCUAGUAAGCGUGAUUCAUCAAAUCGCGUUGAUUACGUCCCUGCCCUUUGUACACACCGCCCGUCGCUCCUACCGAUUGAGUGUGUUGGUGAGGAGUUUGGAUUGGCCUCGGAAGGUGGUUCGCCACCGUCCGUAGCUGAGAAGUUCUCCAAACCGCCCCACUUAGAGGAAGGAGAAGUCGUAACA